ACGCAUGCCAAGCCAAACUUGGGGAGACUAUAGUAAGAGAAUCUGUUUUCUCCAUCUUUGGUUGUUUCUGUUUUCGAAAUUCCUUUCCUCUAGGUUCGGAGAAAAAGUUCCUUUUGAAAGGAGGAUUCCAACUUUGCUUUGAAUAAGAGGGAGGAAAGAGGGUUUCCGUGCCAGGCCCAACUAGGUCUACAACAGGAUAGUUAAAGAGCUUAUUCAAAAGGCUUGAACCGAGCAGCCGUGCAGGCAAGCCGAACACAAAAGGAAGCAAAAUACCCCAAGGGUGGCGAGAGCCAGGCCACGGGUGUCCAAGUGCGCCGGCCUCCCCCAGCAGCGGGUUCAUUCCCGGGCUCCUGCUCCUUCUCAGUUACUCGGCCCUCGGUCCCUUGGGCACAGUACCUGGAAUCGAGCUGCGUCUGCCGAGAAGCGUCUCGUGUCGAAUUUGGCCCCCGCGCCGAGCCGGCGAAAGAGAUCGUGGACGUCCAUCUUUACCCAGAAAGCGCCACAGUUCUACGGCGCCUGCGCAGACUACUUCCCAGGCCCCGGGCAGCGUCGGAAGAGGGCGUGAGCAUAAUUGGCUCCUGUAGGCGGAGCCUGGCUGGGACAGAAUUGAAGUAAAUAGCGCAAGGACCAAUGCUGACCUCACGGUGGCACUCCAGUCUUCGAAUAAAGGGCUCUCUGGACUCAUCUUAUUGACCUCCAAAUGGACAGUCCACAUUGAAGUGAAGAGUUGACAUGAACUCUGGGCCCAUAGACCCCACAGUUUAAUUUCCUGAAGAGAAUCUACCAAGGACUUUGCUUUUCUGUUUUUAAAUCAGCUCUGACGUAAGGCUGGAUCAAUAGAAUAGGUGUCAAGUAUGCCCGAAUGUCUCCAUCCGUAAAAAAUUUCAUCAGGGUUCAAAAGUAACCAAAAUAAUUUCACCAUUAUUAUUUAUUAAUGGAUACCAUUUAUUGAAUGCCUGCUAUGUGCCACAUUGGGUUCAGGGUACUUUUCAUAUUAUAUGAGCUCAUUGAACUCACAAUAGCUCUAUGAGGUUGAUACUACAGUGUUCUCAUUUUUCUGAGAAGAAACUAGGGCUCAGAGACAUUAAGUAGCUUGCCUCUCACAUCAUAUAGGUAGUAAGUGGCCAUACUUGGUUUUGAACCCAAUCUGUGUGAUCCCCAAACUUGCGCUCUUUAAACAAGGCUGCAUUGCCUCUUAUUAUUGAUGCCAAGAUAAAAGCAGCAAUUAAUGAAACUUGGUUUUCUUCAGGUAUAGACUGUUUGGCAUGAGGUGGUUUAAAUAAUAUCAUAUUUAAGGAGAUCUAUUGCGGGCCCCUAUUGUGAAUUUGUGUCCUCUUCAUGAAACUCUUUGCCACAUAUGAGAAACAGGAUAUUUACAUAGUCACAAAGUGUGUCCCACAAGGUAUUGAUUAGUUACGAAGAGAAAAAUUGAAAAUUUACAGUGGAGCAACCUGGAAGAUACCAUGUGAAUGAAAUGGUCACAGUAUAAAUGGUAACAUAAAAGUGGUAAAAUAUCAAUAUGUACACCAUGGUCAUAUUCUUUUGCUUUUAUUGUGGAAGAGACAAAGGGACAAGGGAGGAUUUGCUGACACUGGUCAGGAGUGGAGUAGAGGACUAAUUCCUAUCUUUGAUCUCCAUCUGUGAAAGCCCAGAUCGCACAAAGAUUUCCAAAUGAAAUAUUUACAUUUCUAAGGGGUAGAGAAUUAUUCGUGAAUCCUAGACAAUAUACAAGGGAAGGCUCCCAAAAGAAAGAUACAAAUAAUAAAAUUCUAGAAUAAUGUUAUAGUACUGAUUGUAGGCUAUGGGGAGUGGGAGUUGGUUGUCCUACUAAUAAAAUGCUUAAUCAAGAGUGUAUGAUUUGUAAA
rnacentral:lncRNA from 1 species